rnacentral:lncRNA from 1 species
GGGUGUUACGGUACAGAGUCAAUGUGGAGGCUAUAUACAGGGGGUACCAGUACAGAGUCAAUGUGGAGGCUAUAUACAGGGGGUACCAGUACAGAGUCAAUGUGGAGGCUAUAUACAGGGGGGUACCAGUACAGAGUCAAUGUGGAGACUAUAUACAGGGGGUACCAGUACAGAGUCAAUGUGGAGGCUAUAUACAGGGGGGUACCAGUACAGAGUCAAUGUGGAGGCUAUAUACAGGGGGGUACCGGUACAGAGUCAAUGUGGAGGCUAUAUACAGGGGGUACCAGUACAGAGUCAAUGUGGAGGCUAUAUACAGGGGGUACCGGUACAGAGUCAAUGUGGAGGCUAUAUACAGGGGGGUACCGGUACAGAGUCAAUGUGGAGGCUAUAUACAGGGGGGUACCGGUACAGAGUCAAUGUGGAGACUAUAUACAGGGGGUACCGGUACAGAGUCAAUGUGGAGGCUAUAUACAGGGGGUACCAGUACAGAGUCAAUGUGGAGACUAUAUACAGGGGGUACCGGUACAGAGUCAAUGUGGAGGCUAUAUACAGGGGGGUACCGGUACAGAGUCAAUGUGGAGGCUAUAUACAGGGGGUACCAGUACAGAGUCAAUGUGGAGGCUAUAUACAGGGGGUACCGGUACAGAGUCAAUGUGGAGGCUAUAUACAGGGUGUUACGGUACAGAGUCAAUGUGGAGGCUAUAUACAGGGGGUACCAGUACAGAGUCAAUGUGGAGGCUAUAUACAGGGGGGUACCAGUACAGAGUCAAUGUGGAGGCUAUAUACAGGGGGUACCAGUACAGAGUCAAUGUGGAGGCUAUAUACAGGGGGUACCGGUACAGAGUCAAUGUGGAGGCUAUAUACAGGGGGUACCGGUACAGAGUCAAUGUGGAGGCUAUAUACAGGGGGUACCAGUACAGAGUCAAUGUGGAGGCUAUAUACAGGGGGUACCGGUACAGAGUCAAUGUGGAGGCUAUAUACAGGGGGUACCAGUACAGAGUCAAUGUGGAG